AUUGAACGCUGGCGGCAGGCCUAACACAUGCAAGUCGAACGAGUGGCGGACGGGUGAGUAAUGUCUGGGAAACUGCCCGAUGGAGGGGGAUAACUACUGGAAACGGUAGCUAAUACCGCAUACCAGCGGAUGUGCCCAGAGGGGAUUGGCUAGUAGGUGGGGUAACGGCUCCCCUAGGCGACGAUCCCUAGCUGGUCUGAGAGGAUGACCAGCCACACUGGAACUGAGGCACGUUCCAGACGCCUACGGGUGGCAGCAGUGGGGACUAUGGCGCAAUGGGCGCAAUCCUGUGGCACCUAUGCCGCGUGUAUGAAGAGGGCCUUCGGGUUGUAAAGUACUUUCAGCGAGGAGGCGUUACUCGCAGAAGAAGCGCCGGCUAACUCCGUGCCAGCAGCCGCGGUAAUAC
rnacentral:rRNA from 1 species